rnacentral:rRNA from 1 species
UACGUAGGGCGCAAGCGUUGUCCGGAAUUAUUGGGCGUAAAGAGCUCGUAGGCGGUCUGUCGCGUCCGUUGUGAAAAACUCGAGGCUCACCUCGGGGCUUGCAGUGGGAUACGGGCAGACUAGAGUGCGGGUAGGGAGACUGGGAAAUUUCCUGGGUGUAGCGGGUGGAAAUGCGCCAGAUAUCCGGGAGGGACACCCGAUGGCGAAAGGGCAGGGUCUCUGGGCCCGCAAACUGACGCUGAGG